GGCGAACGGGUGAGGAUCACGUGAGAAACGUGCCCCAGACUCUGGGAUAACAAUUGGAAACGAUUGCUAAUACCGGAUGACGUCGGAGAAUCGCAUGAUUCACUGACGAAAGAUAUUUCGGUUUGGGAGCGUCUCGCGGCCUAUCAGCUUGUUGGUGGGGUAAUGGCCUACCAAGGCAACGACGGGUAGCUGGUCUGAGAGGAUGAUCAGCCACACUGGGACUGAGACACGGCCCAGACUCCUACGGGAGGCAGCAGUGGGGAAUCUUGCGCAAUGGGCGAAAGCCUGACGCAGCAACGCCGCGUGCGGGAUGAAGGCCUUCGGGCUGUAAACCGCUUUCAGCAGGAACGAAAAUGACGGUACCUGCAGAAGAAGGAGCGGCCAACUACGUGCCAGCAGCCGCGGUGACACGUAGGCUCCAAGCGUUGUCCGGAUUUAUUGGGCGUAAAGAGCUCGUAGGCGGUUGAGUAAGUCGGGUGUGAAAACUCUGGGCUUAACCCGGAGACGCCAUCCGAUACUGCUCUGACUAGAGUUCAGGAGGGGAGUGGGGAAUUCCUAGUGUAGCGGUGAAAUGCGCAGAUAUUAGGAGGAACACCGGUGGCGAAGGCGCCACUCUGGACUGAAACUGACGCCGAGGAGCGAAAGCAUGGGUAGCAAACAGGAUUAGAUACCCU
rnacentral:rRNA from 1 species